UUAAAUUGAAGAGUUUGAUCAUGGCUCAGAUUGAACGCUGGCGGCAGGCCUAACACAUGCAAGUCGAACGGUAACAGGAAGAAGCUUGCUUCUUUGCUGACGAGUGGCGGACGGGUGAGUAAUGUCUGGGAAACUGCCUGAUGGAGGGGGAUAACUACUGGAAACGGUAGCUAAUACCGCAUAACGUCGCAAGACCAAAGAGGGGGACCUUCGGGCCUCUUGCCAUCGGAUGUGCCCAGAUGGGAUUAGCUAGUAGGUGGGGUAACGGCUCACCUAGGCGACGAUCCCUAGCUGGUCUGAGAGGAUGACCAGCCACACUGGAACUGAGACACGGUCCAGACUCCUACGGGAGGCAGCAGUGGGGAAUAUUG
rnacentral:rRNA from 1 species